AGUAUAGUUCCAGUGUCUCCAUCUUUCUAGGAAAGAGCCCAAUGUCCUGGGAGAAUCAAAUUACCCAGUCUGGCGAAUCGCAUCGAGAUAUGCAAGAAUAAGGCGAUGUAGAUUUCGGUUGGUCACAGCUUGAAAAAAGUGGCUCCAGUUUCACGCAAUGGUUGAAAUAUCAUUCAGCUGCAAUCUUUCUGGAAGAAUAGAGGACUGGCACCGGCCAUUCUCCUUUAAUUCCCUUGAGCAAGCACACUGCCAGGCAAUCUCCUCCAUAGCUUUUUUCAUCUUUCCCUCCCCAGCAUACUUGUUUAUUCUCUCUGGAUACUUCUUUGAGAAAUGUAAUCCACAUGGAACCCACAGCACAAUCUUUUUUUAUUCAGUAAAAAGGAGCUCCACAUCUGUCUCCGGUGCCUUCUGGUACUUGGAAGCAGGCUCUCUCUCUCUCUCUCUCCUGCAAAUCACUGAAUCACUCUCUCUUUCCUAGCUCAACUCUGCAGAGAGAGAGAGAUAGAGGUUACAAAAUGAAAAUGAAGCUUCUUGUGUGGUUGUUUUUCGUAGUGUCUGUUCAAACCAUUCUGAUCUUGGCUGUUGAAUGCUUCUCCGAUCCAUCCAUCUCAACCCACAAUACACAAGGACGGAAAGUUCGAGCAAGUUAUGCAGGUUUGAACGAGACCGGUGGAUUUUUGGGAACUGCUGAUGGGAGCCUCCCUGUGAUUUCUGUUACGAGAAAAGGUUCAAAAGGGAAGGGAGCUUAUGGUGGUGCAAAUAUGGUCCAUCGACCACCGCGUAUGAGAAAUGCAGCAUCGUCCUCUGCUGCACCUCCUUUCUUGGUAUUCUCGGCUAUGUUGGCGACUGUCAGUUUGAUCUAUCCUUGUCGCUUUUAAGGGGCCCACUAUGCUUGUCGUACAUCGCAAUCUGGGACCGUAUAUAUGCUCAGCCUCGCGUUUGUGCUUCCCAAUAUUGCCUUCUUUGGGAAUUUGACUGUUGUUUUAGUCUAUUGAUGUUAUGGCGGUUGGUUGUGUUACUGUUGUGUUAUGAGCAGAACUUCCUGGGAUACAAGUCUAGCAAGUCUUAGCUCUUAACCUUGAUAAUUUGAUUCUUCAUACCAGGUUUUUUU